rnacentral:rRNA from 1 species
UACGUAGGGAGCAAGCGUUAUCCGGAUUUAUUGGGUGUAAAGGGUGCGUAGACGGGAAGUCAAGUUAGUUGUGAAAUCCCUCGGCUUAACUGAGGAACUGCAACUAAAACUAACUUUCUUGAGUGCUGGAGAGGAAAGUGGAAUUCCUAGUGUAGCGGUGAAAUGCGUAGAUAUUAGGAGGAACACCAGUGGCGAAGGCGACUUUCUGGACAGUAACUGACGUUGAGGCACGAAAGCGUGGGUAUCGAACAGG